GAUGAACGCUAGCUACAGGCUUAACACAUGCAAGUCGAGGGGCAGCAUGGUCUUAGCUUGCUAAGGCCGAUGGCGACCGGCGCACGGGUGAGUAACACGUAUCCAACCUGCCGUCUACUCUUGGACAGCCUUCUGAAAGGAAGAUUAAUACAAGAUGGCAUCAUGAGUCCGCAUGUUCACAUGAUUAAAGGUAUUCCGGUAGACGAUGGGGAUGCGUUCCAUUAGAUAGUAGGCGGGGUAACGGCCCACCUAGUCUUCGAUGGAUAGGGGUUCUGAGAGGAAGGUCCCCCACAUUGGAACUGAGACACGGUCCAAACUCCUACGGGAGGCAGCAGUGAGGAAUAUUGGUCAAUGGGCGAGAGCCUGAACCAGCCAAGUAGCGUGAAGGAUGACUGCCCUAUGGGUUGUAAACUUCUUUUAUAAAGGAAUAAAGUCGGGUAUGGAUACCCGUUUGCAUGUACUUUAUGAAUAAGGAUCGGCUAACUCCGUGCCAGCAGCCGCGGUAAUACGGAGGAUCCGAGCGUUAUCCGGAUUUAUUGGGUUUAAAGGGAGCGUAGAUGGAUGUUUAAGUCAGUUGUGAAAGUUUGCGGCUCAACCGUAAAAUUGCAGUUGAUACUGGAUAUCUUGAGUGCAGUUGAGGCAGGCGGAAUUCGUGGUGUAGCGGUGAAAUGCUUAGAUAUCACGAAGAACUCCGAUUGCGAAGGCAGCCUGCUAAGCUGCAACUGACAUUGAGGCUCGAAAGUGUGGGUAUCA
rnacentral:rRNA from 1 species